ACAUGCAGUCGAGGGGCAGCACGGUGUAGCAAUACACUGGUGGCGACCGGCGCACGGGUGCGUAACGCGUAUGCAACCUACCCAUAACAGGGGGAUAACACUGAGAAAUUGGUACUAAUACCCCAUAACAUCAGGACCGGCAUCGGUUCUGGUUGAAAACUCCGGUGGUUAUGGAUGGGCAUGCGUUGUAUUAGCUGGUUGGUGAGGUAACGGCUCACCAAGGCAACGAUACAUAGGGGGACUGAGAGGUUAACCCCCCACAUUGGUACUGAGACACGGACCAAACUCCUACGGGAGGCAGCAGUGAGGAAUAUUGGUCAAUGGACGCAAGUCUGAACCAGCCAUGCCGCGUGCAGGAAGACGGCUCUAUGAGUUGUAAACUGCUUUUGUACGAGGGUAAACGCUCUUACGUGUAAGAGCCUGAAAGUAUCGUACGAAUAAGGAUCGGCUAACUCCGUGCCAGCAGCCGCGGUAAUACGGAGGAUCCAAGCGUUAUCCGGAUUUAUUGGGUUUAAAGGGUGCGUAGGCGGUUUGAUAAGUUAGAGGUGAAAUACCGGUGCUUAACACCGGAACUGCCUCUAAUACUGUUGAACUAGAGAGUAGUUGCGGUAGGCGGAAUGUAUGGUGUAGCGGUGAAAUGCUUAGAGAUCAUACAGAACACCGAUUGCGAAGGCAGCUUACCAAACUAUAUCUGACGUUGAGGCACGAAAGCGUGGGGAGCAAACAGGAUUAGAUACCCUGGUAGUCCACGCAGUAAACGAUGAUAACUCGUUGUCGGCGAUACACAGUCGGUGACUAAGCGAAAGCGAUAAGUAAUCCACCUGGGGAGUACGACCGCAAGGUUGAAACUCAAAGGAAUUGACGGGGGCCCGCACAAGCAGUGGAGUAUGUGGUUUAAUUCGAAGCAACGCGAAGAACCUUACCAGGUCUUGACAUCCGAUGCAUAGCUUA
rnacentral:rRNA from 1 species